GACGAACGCUGGAGGCGUGCUUAACACAUGCAAGUCGAACGAUGAAGUGGAGCUUGCUCCACGGAUUAGUGGCGAACGGGUGAGUAACACGUGAAUAACCUGCCCUCAAUUUCGGAAUAACCCAGGGAAACCUGGGCUAAUACCGGAUACGUAAACCUGUGGCAUCACAUGGUUUUGGAAAGUUUUUCGAUUGAGGAUGGAUUCGCGGCCUAUCAGCUUGUUGGUGAGGUAAUGGCUCACCAAGGCGACGACGGGUAGCCGGCCUGAGAGGGUGGACGGCCACACUGGGACUGAGACACGGCCCAGACUCCUACGGGUGGCUG
rnacentral:rRNA from 1 species